UCAAAAUUUGGGCCAAAUUCAGAUGGGCCAGCGAUGAUUUAAUUGCAUCAUUGAGCUAUUGCUGCAUGGACUGAGCAUAAUUGAAACGCAGUGUUUUGGUGCUGAGUUUGCUGCUGCCUUUAGCGGUCUUUGCUCGAGACAUUCAAUUGAGGCAGAAGUAUUCCUUCGAGCUAAGUAAAAUUCAGCUUUACUUAGUUUGUUCUGUGCGACCAAAUUUAGUUAAACAAAUGGCGCCGUUGUCGGUGACUCGGCGAGUUAAGUCUUAGGGUGUUUAGGUGGUCUUGUUUAGGUUUGUUUCUUUUUGCAUAUUUCUUUUUAGUGUGCUUUGGUUUCUGUUUCUGAAGUUGUAGCAUUUGUGAGUAGUGGUUCUUAUUUCUGUGUGUUUGAUUUUUGAUUUUAUUUCUGGAAGCUGUUAUUUUUAGGUUCUUUUCCUUGUUUGUCUGUGUGCCUGGUAUAAUCUCCUUUUGAAGUGUAGUCAAGAACAGGUUCGGUACCAGGAGAUGAGAAACUCUCAGGAUUGGCCGUACAAGCUUAUAAAAAGGCUGCCUUAGUACCAUGGAGUGGCUGGAGAAGAUCCACACCUGCAUUUGAAGGAGUUCCAAGUGGUCUGCUCAACUUUUAAACCAGCAGAAGUUCCUGAAGAGUGGGUCAAGUUGAAGGCAUUCCCCUUCUCCCUUCAAGAUGCAGCCAAGGACUGGUUGUAUUACAAGACAUAUUCAUCACCAUUUGCUGCCUGGGCUGAGAUGCAGAGAAGCUUUCUGGAAAAGUUCUUCCCAGCCUCAACAACAGUCUCCAAGCAAAGAGAAAUUAGCUCCAUUAUACAACUGCAAGGAGAGACACUGAGGGAGUACUGGGACAAAUUCAACCAGCUGUGUGCCUCAUGUCCAGAUCAUCAAAUCAGUGAGCACCUUCUCAUCCUGUACUUCUGUGAUGGACUGAGCAUGAAGGAGAGAUGAUGCUGCUGCUGCUGGAGGGUCUAUUAUGGAUAAGACAGUUUUUGAAGCCAGGACUUUGAUAGCCAAGUUGAGUGGGUUUCAUGAUGAAGCUAGUGAAUCUGCUGAGAGCACAGGUUCUGAGUUGCAACCAGUAAAGACUUGAUGAUGCAGCUGAUGACUUGGAGAUUGGUAACAUAAUUUUCAAUGAGCAAAAAGAGGUUUAUUUUGAACUUGAGAUUCCAAAUACUUUACCUGAUUUGCCUAUACAUUUAAAUACCUGUGAUUUGCUGCACAUUAAUUCUAUAAAGUCUUUGGCUGAAACUGAUGUAGUUUUGAUUGAUCAUCCCAAAUUUCUUGAUUCAGUUUUAGCCAUUGAACCUGUGAAUAUGAAUGCUGUUAUUUUUUACUCAACCAUGAAUAUAGAUGAUUGCUUUGAUGUGAAUGAACUUUUGCAUGAUAGUAUCUUUGAAUUGAGUCUUGAUUCUGCUGCAGAUUCACAUGUUAGUGUUGAUUUUGAUAUAGAAACUGUGAAAACUGAAGAUGUUUUAGAUUUAGAAUUAAACUUUCAUUUUUCACAGUGCUCUGAAAACUUUAAAUGUAGUUGCGAAGCUGAUUCUUGCUCUAUUUGUAUUGAAAUUGAUGAUGUGAUACAACCAGAUUCCAACCUUAUAACAGACUUAACUGUGAGUUUGAUGGCCAGGUUGCAGAAUUAAAUGAUAAUGCAGGUGCUGAAGUCAAUAAUGAAUCCAUGGUUGAUGAAGAAGAUUGCAUUGCUACUGUUUGAAGUAAGCCAGAGGUUUUUAUCCCAGUGCCAUACACUCAAGAGCUGUCAGUGGAAGGAGAGCUGCUGCUGCAGCAGUUUGCUUGGAGAAGAGAGAAGCAACAUCUUGCUUUGGAUGAGAGGGCAGUGCUGCUCCAACCAAGUUCUCUACAGAAGCAGAUUGGUGCAGCCAGGGAGUUAAUGCAAGGAGUGGUUGAAUGCAUAAGGACAAAACUGAUAAGCUCUUUCCUUUCUUUUCUUUUGCAUAGUUUUAGAUAUUUUCUAGUAGGUAGAGUAGUUAUAGAUAACAUAGUAAAUAGUAGAGUAGAAAAUAUGUCAUUUGAAUAAAUAUUUUUUUUUCUUGUAGCUUUAUAGUUUUAGUUUUCUUUUUCUAGCUCUGUCUUGUAUAUGUUGUGUUCUUUUGGGUUUAGUUUUCUUGCUUUUGUUAUAUACGUUUUCUUGCUCAAUUUUAAUUCUUUUUCAAUUCUGUUUAGCAUAAUUAUGUCUUGUACAUAUCUGUUGUUGUCUGUUGUUGUUAGAAAACCUUCCUCACUCACAUUGAGGGCAAUGUGCCUCUUAAGUGUUGGGGUGAGAGGGUAUAGUAUAAUAUAGGUUUAAUUUUUUUUGUUUUUACCCUGUAUAUAGUUGUUAUGUCUUUGUUUCUAGUAUAAAAGUGUGAUAAUUUUUUUUUUUUGGAGUAGGUAUGUUUUAGUUUUAGAUCUGUUUUAGUUGUAGAUGCUUUGAUUGACUGUAAAUAUGUUGUAGGUAGGGUAGAUAGCCUUGCUUUGUUCCAUUUUUUUUUACAUAAUUGCUUUGUUUUUAGGAGUAGCUUCCCUUGUUUUUAGGUUCUGUUUCGUUUAGUUUUUAAAUCCUUAUUGCAAACUGAAUAGCCUAGGUUAAUUUUGUUGUUUUGCUGAAUUUCUUUGAAAGUUUGAGUUGCAUGCAUAGUUAAGGAAAACUAGCUUAAUUAGGAUAAGUUAAAGGUAGAAGUGCUUAGAGUUUUGAGAAACCAACUCUGGAAUCAACUUAGCAGAUAUUAUUACCCAGUGAGUCUUGAGCUUUAAUUCUUUGUAGUGUGUUUACACCUAGGUUAGUGACAUUCUAGAACUUGUGCAUUUUCUCUUUGAUAUAGUUGAACAGUGAGACAUUUUUGAUGUGAUUCAGGCCUUCUUGUUUUUAAGCCUCCUAUCCAAAUAGCCUAUCCCCCCAUUUCUUUUCCCAUUGUACCUUGAUUUUGAGCCUUUUAGCCUGUUCUUUGUGUUUUAGCAGCUUAUAAGCCCAUUUGAAUCUGAAAAACCAAAAAGAUACCCAAUUAGGGAGAUGUGGGAAGUUGUUUUAGAAGAGGGAAGUCUUAGAAAUUGUAGGGCAUGGGGAUGUUUGGUCAAAAAGGUAAAAAGGAAGCAGAAAAACAUAAAAAGAAAGUCUGGAUUGAAAAAAAAAAAAAAGUGGAAAGUUCAAGUCUGGUUGGUUGGUGGCAGAAAAAGAAAAGAAAAAUUUGGCACAAGAGAGUUGAGAAAUAAGAAAAGAGAAGAAAAAGGAAGUGGUUUGGUCUGGAAUAACCCCUACACUACAGAUUCAAAUUUUUUCCCCAACACUUCCACACUUCACUACGCAUUGUUAGCCUUGUUUUCCAUUUCAUUCAACCUACCCUCCACCCUAGCCUCAUUACAAGCUUUAACAAAGUCCUGAUGAUCUUGAAUGUGCAUAUGUUUAGCAGCGGAGAUUAGAUUGUGUAAAAGCCUAUGGUAAUGUUGCUUAGCCUGGUGUGUUGAGUGCUGAAAAUACCAAUGCUGAAAACACGAGAGUUGAGUGCAGACACUUACCUGUGAGGUCAAGUUGAGUCUAGAAGUUGGUUCUUUCAAAUUUUGCUGCAUAGUUGCCUUAUUUUAGCAAUUCCUAAUAUGCUUGGUUGUCUUAAUUAUGUUUUGUUAGCUUUAAAUUUUCAGGAUUUUUAGUGAUACAGUAGGAUUUGUCUAGGUGUUUUCUGUUUUGUAAAUUGGUUUUGUCUUUUUUUCAUUGUGUUUGUUUUCUUCUUUUUCUUUUCCCCUGCCCAGGAGGAUAGUUCCUUAAGUGUGGGGGUGUGUUAACUCUCCAGUAUUUGCAUAUUUUUCUAGGUUAAAACUCUUUUCUUAAGGUUUUUAGCUUUUAAUUUUUUAGAAAUAUAAUAGUUUAGUGUAAAAUGGUAAAAAUAGCUUUUAAAAAAAAUUUGGUUAAUUUUCUCUUUUUAGGCAAAUAAAAUAGGUUUUUAAGUAAUUAGAUUCUUUUUAGAAAAAUAUUUUAGAAAACAAAGUAAAAAUAUAUUUUAGAAUAGGUUAUAUUUUUUAACACAUUCUUUUUCUUUGUUGCAGGAAUUAAUAAAAGUGGGCUGAUGCUGAAGAAAAUAUAUUGGGCCAGGUCACUAAUGGGCCAGCACUGAUUGGAGAGCAGAUUUGCACCAUUGUGAUGAUGGCUGGGCUGUAGUAGCUGCCACAAGCCCGCGAGGCUGCUGUGAGGGAAUGGAAUGAAGAUUUUUUUGGGCCUUUGCCUGUCAGAAUCGAAUGAUGUUGUGCGGAAAAGAAAACAAGUGUGAUGUGCUACAAUCCGCUGGCAGAGGCUGAAGUCUCUAAGUGCUGAAAUGGUCCAAAUUCAGAUGGGCCAGCGAUGAUUUAAGUGCAUCAUUGAGCUAUUGCUGCAUGGAAUUAUACAUUCUAAUUUUAAUCCUUUAUUAAAAAUUCUAAUUUUUUUCUCCUUUCCUUUUCAGCGUCACGAAAUAAAAUGCACAUCACUUCUUCGUUUUUCUCUA